CUCAACCACCCACCUAAAAAAAAUAGGGGAUGAUCAGCAUUCAUAGGGCCAAAUGAAUCUUUUGUGGACACCCAGACCUGAACCCCACUCAGCUUUCACUCUACCCUGAGGCCCUGUUCUCUUUCAGCAUCUUCCUCCUAAAUCCCCGCCAGCUACUCGCACGGGCAGGGGGGGAUAUGAAGAGGAGCCCCCCUGGCAAAACCAAAAUUCAGCACCUGUGUUCUGCUGAAUGAAAGGGCCGGAGCGACGGGCCUGCAGAACGAAGGAGAAGGCACCAAACACUGGAUGAAAAGGACAGGGCUGUCUUCUUGAUUUCGGCACGGACAGGCAUGUGCACACAGAGCUGUCUGAGAAAUACCUUCCCCAUCCUGUGGACAUUUUUUAGAUUUCUGGGAAGUUUUUCCUGUCCCGAAUCAGGCUGAAAACUCAACCUUUCUAAAACUUUUGUGAAAUGUAAAAUCGGUGGGUUUUUUUUCCAUUUUCAACUAUUUUUAAAAAAUAGAGGCAUGAUCAGUAAAUAAAAAGUCAUUUUCAGCCUGAAGACUUUUGGUUAAAAAUGUCAACACAGGGGCACUUGGACAAUGCUGAAACUUUUCCCAAGCUGUUACAAAAUGACUCGAACCCACCCUUACCUCCGGAAAGCGGCUGUUUAGAGGAGCGGAGACACGGAGCGGCAUGGUGGCCAGCUGGAAGCUGUCUUCAUUCUGCCUGUGUCAAGUGGACAAAAGUGACGUCAAUGGUGGAACACUGCUGAACUCAUCUGGAGGCCCACCAGGGAUAUAUUUGCUCCGCUGUUGCUGGUUGAUCAGCUAUUCAAGAGAAAUUAACCAAUUAAAAUAGCUCUUGGCCAAUA